GGGGGCGGAGGCCGGCGGAGGAAGCGGAGGCAGCUGGCGGCGCCCAGGGGCUCUCCAGCUCCGCCAGUUCCUCUGGUGCAGAAGCCAAGGGUGUCGUGGAAGCGAAAUACAGUAACGUCUGCCACGUGCAACAGCCUGUAAGUGCAGACUGUGAUGCUGCUGGGAGGCAGGGCGGUGUCAGGGAGACACGUUGCUAGGAGACGAGACCUCUGGACCCACCUCUCCGACACUCUUCAGCAUCGUUUAUUUAUCUGCUCCUUCGAUGUCAAGUGUGACUGAUGCCUGUCCUGCCGUCUCGUUGGAAACGCAGUGAGUUAUGGCCGUCGGCCAGCAGAGAUGUCCAGAAUCCGCGCUCCCAUGCCGGCUGCCCCGCCUGUCGGACUGGAGACACCGCAUUCCAGCCCGAACUCUGCCAUUUGAAAGCUCUGCGCUCUGGGACAAACACGUUUUCUGCUUUUUAUUCUGUAAUCACCAAAUUAGGGAUGGUAUUGAAAAA